rnacentral:rRNA from 1 species
CUGCUGCCUUCCGUAGGAGUCUGGUCCGUGUCUCAGUACCAGUGUGGGGGACCUUCCUCUCAGAACCCCUAGACAUCGUCGCCUUGGUGGGCCGUUACCCCGCCAACAAGCUAAUGUCACGAAUGCCCAUCCGUCUCCGGAGUUGCCUCCUUUGGCCGAAAGAAGAUGCCUCCCCUCGGCCACAUGCGGUAUUAGGCCGGAUUCCCCGGGUUAUCCCGCUGAAACGGGCAGGUUGCAUACGCGUUACUCACCCGUGCGCCGGUCGCCGGCGG